GUUUACCUACGGGGCGCAGCAGUAGGGAAUCUUCGGCAACGGACGAAAGUAUGACCGAGCAACGCCGCGUGAGUGAAGAAGGUUUUCGGAUCGUAAAACUCUGUUGGUAGAGAAGAACGUUGGUGAGAGUGGAAAGCUCAUCAAGUGACGGUAACUACCCAGAAAGGGACGGCUAACUACGUGCCAGCAGACGCGGUAAUACGUAGGUCCCGAGCGUUGUCCGGAUUUAUUGGGCGGAAAGCGAGCGCAGGUGGUUUAUUAAGUCUGGUGUAAAAGGCAGUGGCUCAAGCAUUGUAUGCAUUGGA
rnacentral:rRNA from 1 species